UUGAGAUAUGCUACAAGGACCGCAUCCAGCAGUUUGAUGAUGAUGAGGAAGAGGAGGACGAGGAAGAGGCCCAGGGCUCAGGGGAGUCUGAUGGAGAAGAUGGCGCCUGGCAGGGCAGCCAGCUGGCCAGGGGGGCCCGUCUGGGCCAGCCACCUGGUGUCCGGAGUGGAGGCAGCACAGACAGUGAGGACGAAGAAGAGGAGGACGAGGAGGAGGAGGAAGACGAGGAGGGCAUUGGCUGUGCAGCCCGUGGAGGGGCCACCCCUCUGUCCUACCCCAGCCCUGGCCCUCAGCCUCCAGGCCCCAGCUGGACAGCCACCUUUGACCCAGUGCCUACAGAUGCCCCGACCAGCCCCCGAGUCUCCGGGGAGGAAGAGCUGCACACUGGGCCUCCAGCCCCACAGGGGCCCCUCAGUGUGCCCCAGGGCCUCCCCACUCAGAGCCUGGCCAGCCCUCCUGCCCGUGACGCCCUGCAGCUCAGGUCUCAGGACCCCACACCCCCCUCAGCACCUCAGGAAGCCACAGAAGGCAGCAAAGUCACGGAGCCCUCAGCCCCUUGCCAGGCCUUGGUUAGCAUCGGGGACCUUCAGGCCACCUUCCACGGGAUCCGUUCUGCCCCCAGCUCCUCGGACAGUGCAACCAGAGACCCCUCUACCUCUGUCCCAGCCUCCGGGGCCCACCAGCCCCCCCAGACCACAGAAGGGGAGAAGAGCCCAGAGCCCUUGGGGCUUCCCCAAAGCCAGAGUGCCCAGGCCCUCACGCCUCCUCCGAUACCCAAUGGCUCUGCCCCGGAAGGGCCUGCAUCCCCAGGCUCCCAAUAGCUGCCUGGUGCGGCAGCGGCGGCCAAAUCUUCCGUCCUCCCGUGGAUCUCCCGGGGUGGGGGCAGGGCGGGUCCCACGAUGGCCCCCAUUGCCCUCAUCACCCUGACACCCCCACAUUCUCUCCUCUGGACCCCCAGGAGGCUGGUGCCAGGGAGACAGGCCCAACCCACCCCCAUUUGCACUGAGAAGAGAAGUUUUGGAGCGUUGCCUCCUAGAAUAAAGAUACAGAGAGUCAAAUAGAGAGAAUGGAGAGAGAGAAACAUAUAUUAUAUAUUAUAUAGAGAGAGGGAGGAGAGCGAGAGAGAGUGAGGACACCGAACUGGGCUGGCGGCUCCAAAGCACAGCCUUCCCUGUUCCGUCCCAGCGGGAGCUGGUGUUAGGGGUCCCAAGGUUGCCACCCACGUGCCCAGCUGUCCCACGCUGCAGCGCAGACGGCCACGCCCACACCCGGCCUUUUAGCUCAGGUCCACCAUGGGGGACGGCCCAGCGUGGGUGGGGGUGCCAGAGGGUCCCGAGUGGGGGCCGUGCCUUUGCCCAGACCCUGCACUUUCAACCAGGCCAGUCCGGCUCUGGGGAGCAGGGGCCUCCCCGGCAACAGCCCCAGGGGCCUUGAGGGUCUGAGGUCCCAGCCCUGUUGCCAAGUGACCUUGUCCCCAGCUCCCUCCUCCCAGGCUGGUGUGAGUGUGCGUGCGUUUGUGCCGAGCUUCUAUUUCAUAUUGCAAAUAUAAAUAAAGGAAGGCAG
rnacentral:lncRNA from 1 species